rnacentral:rRNA from 1 species
AUGGCGCGGCGCGGCGUGGUGGCCGUCGCCGGCGACCGGGCACGGUGCGGUGGCCCGGUGACCUGGACAGGGGCUGUCGCCGCGGAGCGAGAAAGAGAGCGGGGGCGCAGCGGCGCCGCAGCACUAUCCUUCUCUCUCGUUCUCUCUGCCAACAGGAAAGAGAAGGGGAACGGGAGGAAGGAGAUGCGAGCACGAGGCACGCGCGGCGUGGUGGUCUUCGACCCCGUCGCCGGCGGCUGGCCGGAGUCGCUCCAGGCGCGAGAGACAAGGAGAGCGAGGCACAUGGUGAAAGGAGCGAGGGUUUCGCCGUGGCUGCGUCGCUAG